UACGGAGGGUGCAAGCGUUAUCCGGAUUCACUGGGUUUAAAGGGUGCGUAGGUGGGCAGGUAAGUCAGUGGUGAAAUCUCUGGGCUUAACUCAGAAACUGCCAUUGAUACUAUCUGUCUUGAAUACCGUGGAGGUCAGCGGAAUAUGUCAUGUAGCGGUGAAAUGCUUAGAUAUGACAUAGAACACCAAUUGCGAAGGCAGCUGGCUACUCGGAUAUUGACACUGAGGCACGAAAGCGUGGGGAUCAAACAGG
rnacentral:rRNA from 1 species